UUAAGUUACAAAGAGCGCAGGGUGGAUGCCUUGGCACUGAGAGCCGAUGAAAGACGUGAUAAGCUGCGAUAAGCUGCGGCAAGGAGCAAAUAUCCGAUGAACCGCAGAUUUCUGAAUGGGGAAACCUGGCUGAGCAAACCUCAGUCGUCAUAUACUGAAUACAUAGGUAUAUGUCGGGAACCUCCUGAACUGAAACAUCUAAGUAGGGAGAGGAAGAGAAAGAAACAUCGAUUCCGUAAGUAGCGGCGAGCGAACGCGGAAGAGCCCAAACCGGAGUGCGUGCAUUCCGGGGUAUGGACUGCGAUAUGGCAGUGUGAAUGGUAGUAGAAGGGUCUGGGAAGUCCCGCCAUAGAGAGUGAAAGCCUCGUACACGAAAUCAUGAACACACCUAGCAGUAUCCGGAGUACCACGAGACACGAGAAACCUUGUGGGAAGGCGGAGGGACCACCCUCCAAGGCUAAAUACUACUCAGUGACCGAUAGAGCAUAGUACUGUGAAGGAAAGGUGAAAAGAACCCCGGGAGGGGAGUGAAAGAGAACCUGAAACCCUGUGUUUACAAGCUGCGGAACUACAUUUUAGGUAGAACCGCGUACUUUUUGUAGAACGGUCCGGCGAGUUUCUUUUACUGGCAAGGUUAAGUACUUAAGGUACGGAGCCGAAGUGAAAGCAAGUGUUAACAGCACGUCUAGUCAGUAGAAGAAGACCCGAAACCGGGUGAUCUACCCAUGUCCAGGUUGAAGUUGCCGUAAAAGGCAAUGGAGGACCGAACGCACAUCCGUUGAAAAGGGUGGCGAUGAGGUGUGGGUAGGGGAGAAAUUCCAAUCGAACCCGGAGAUAGCUGGUUCUCCUCGAAAUAGCUUUAGGGCUAGCCUCGUAUUAGUCUUGCGGAGGUAGAGCACUGAAUAUCCUAGGGGGCGUCAAAGCUUACCGAAGAUUAUCAAACUCCGAAUGCCGCGUAGAUGAUGUACGGGAGUCAGACUGCACGAGAUAAGUUGGGUAGUCAAAAGGGAAAGAGCCCAGACCAUCAGCUAAGGUCCCAAAGUGUGUGUUAAGUGGUAAAGGAUGUGGGAUUUCGAAGACAACUAGGAUGUUGGCUCAGAAGCAGCCAUACAUUCAAAGAGUGCGUAAUAGCUCACUAGUCGAGAGGUCCUGCGCCGAAAAUGUCCGGGGCUAAAACACACCACCGAAGCUAUGGAAUGUAUUAAUACAUUGGUAGAGGAGCAUUGUUACAGAGACGAAGCUGUACUGAAAAGAGCAGUGGAUCUGUAAGAAGAGAGAAUGCCGGAAUGAGUAGCGAGAUUUAAGUGAGAAUCUUAAAGGCCGAAUAUCUAAGGUUUCCAGGGUAAAGCUGAUCUUCCCUGGGUAAGUCGGGGCCUAAGGCGAGGACGAGAGUCGUAGUCGAUGGAUAACAGGUUGAAAUUCCUGUACCGCAUAUAAACAGAACUGUGGGGACGCAGAGAGAAAGCCAGAGCCGGAAAUGGAAAAGCCGGUACAAGCGAGGUAUCCGAGUGAUAGGCAAAUCCGUCACUUAAGGAGAAUACGUGAUGUGGAUCGAACUAGAGUAGAGAAGCUGGUGAGCUAGCUGCCAAGAAAAGCCGCUAUUGUUUUAUAUGUGCCCGUACCGUAAACCGACACAGGUGGAUGAGGAGAGAAUCCUAAGGCCGGCGGGAGAAGUGUUGUUAAGGAACUCGGCAAAAUGACUCCGUAACUUCGGGAGAAGGAGUGCCACAGAGAUGUGGCCGCAGAGAAAUGGCCCAAGCAACUGUUUAGCAAAAACACAGGUCUAUGCAAAACCGAAAGGUGAGGUAUAUGGGCUGACGCCUGCCCGGUGCUGGAAGGUUAAGAGGAGAGCUUAGCGCAAGCGAAGGUUUGAAUUUAAGCCCCAGUAAACGGCGGCCGUAACUAUAACGGUCCUAAGGUAGCGAAAUUCCUUGUCGGGUAAGUU
rnacentral:rRNA from 1 species